UGCGGGAUGGAGCAGUCUGGUAGCUCGUCGGGCUCAUACCCCGAAGGUCGUGGGUUCAAAUCCAGCUCCCGCUACCA
rnacentral:tRNA from 1 species